rnacentral:rRNA from 1 species
AAACCAACAGGGAUUGCCUCAGUAACGGCGAGUGAAGCGGCAAAAGCUCAAAUUUGAAAUCCUUCGGGAGUUGUAAUUUGUAGGUUGGGAGACCCCGCGGCUAGUGGCACCAAGUCCCUUGGAACAGGGCGCCUUAGAGGGUGAGAGCCCCGUAGGUACCACAACACCGUCUUGUGUCUCCUCUCCAAAGAGUCGAGUUGUUUGGGAAUGCAGCUCAAAGUGGGUGGUAAAUUCCAUCUAAAGCUAAAUACCGGCGAGAGACCGAUAGCGAACAAGUACAGUGAUGGAAAGAUGAAAAGCACUUUGAAAAGAGAGUGAAACAGUACGUGAAAUUGUUGAAAGGGAAGGGCUUGCAAGCAGACACGGCCUUCGUGCCGGGCCAGCAUCGGUUGCUAGGGGUGGAUAAGGAACAAGGAAUGUAGCUCCUCGGAGUAUUAUAGCCUUGCGCGAUACACCCACUGGCGACCGAGGCCUGCGGUAUUCCUACCUAGGAUGCUGGCGUAAUGGUUGCAAGCCGCCCGUCUUG